CCUCCCUCUCUUUCAGAAUUUUAGAUUCUUUUACUCAAGAUUCAGCCGACGAGAUUUUGAGAAGAACAAAGGCUUCGCGAUGGCCCGUACAAAGCAAACUGCUCGUAAAUCAACAGGUGGAAAGGCUCCUAGGAAGCAGCUUGCGACUAAGGCUGCACGUAAGUCUGCACCAACCACUGGUGGUGUGAAGAAGCCACAUCGUUAUCGUCCUGGUACUGUUGCUCUUCGUGAAAUCAGGAAAUACCAGAAGAGUACCGAGCUUCUGAUCAGGAAACUUCCUUUCCAGAGGUUGGUUCGUGAAAUUGCUCAAGACUUCAAGACUGAUCUGCGUUUCCAGAGCCAUGCUGUGCUUGCAUUGCAAGAAGCUGCUGAGGCAUACCUUGUUGGGCUUUUUGAGGACACCAACUUGUGUGCUAUCCACGCUAAGCGUGUGACUAUUAUGCCUAAGGAUAUUCAGCUGGCAAGGAGGAUUCGUGGUGAGCGUGCUUGAAGUGGUAUUUGUGAAGAUGGGUGGCUGCGGAUAGUGUUUUGUUAUUCAGAUUUCUUUUUUAUUGAAAGGAAGGAUAGGUUGGUAGGGAAUAGGUGUUUACUUGUAGUCGCAUUAAUUGUGAUAUAGACAAAUACUGCUAAGGGUCUGUGAAUGUCGUUCUUUAAGAAAUUGGCAUGUAAUUGAUUUUUGGAGUCUGUCAAAUGGUCUCAGACGUUUUGGAUGUGCAGCCACUUUGGAAAUUGUAUUGGACAACUUUGUGUUGCCAUCUAGUCUGGUUUAAGCUAUAAGCUUAUUGUGCUUUGUUUGUAUUCGGGAUUUCGAUCCCAGAUGUUUCUGUUUCUUCUUUCUUGUUCACCUUGCAUCCGACUCCGACUCAACCAAUCAUCUGGAACCUAUAGCAUAUAUUCAUGAAUGUUUCCAAAGUAUUGUGUCAGUGAAAGCUAUUUACCCAGCAUGAGAUUUUGGUAGGAAAUUAGGUUCCUGGGGAUUGUAGUGCUGCUGGUUAUGCCUGAAAUGGGGAGGAGAAAAAAUCAUUUGGCUUUCAAAUAAAAAAUAAAGGCAUAAGUGCUUAGUUGAUAGAAAAAGGCACUAGAUUGACUUGUCUUCACAGUUUUCAUUGCCUGUUUCGGUUUUGUAUCUCGUGAAGAAGGAAAACAGGCACAGGUCUUGUAUUCGAGCAUCACUUCGAUUGGAAUUUAUCUGCAAUGGAUAGCUUGUGAUCAAUAAAUUGGCAAGGUUGCGAAGAUGCAACAACAGCAUCGUAUGGAGGAAUAUGAUGAGGAGCUGAAUCAAGGGAAGGAGCAAAUGAGCAAAAUUGAGGAAGAGAAAGGUCGAGCCUUUAACGAGCUAAGAGAAAAGAAAAAGGUUGCUGAGGAGACUAAUGUCAUGUUUGAUGAAGUAGUAGCCACAAAGAGGAACUCAGACCCACAUACAAGAGAACAUCAAAUGGGUGUUGAAGAUAACAACAGCAUUGAAUCAUCAUCAGAACAUGAAAGCAAAAACGGGUUGGAACUCCAAUUGUCAGAGAAAGAUGCUUUGUUGGACAACAUGAGGAACGAGAUGGAUAGUCUUAGAUCAUCAGAGGAUGAUGCAAUGGUCUUGUUGUCUGAUUACAAAAGAAAAGUUCAAGAACUGGAAGCUGAACUGGACAAGAGAAAAGAAUCAGAGGCAAAUUUGUUUGACACAUUGGUGAUGCAAACAAAACAACUAGAGCAUAAUAAGGUCUUGCUUGAAGAGUCAAAGCUUGAGAUAUCUUCUCUUGAGGGAAAAAUAAAGGAAUUUCAAGUAAGUGCCACCCAAACAAUGAAAAUUCCUGGUGAGUCUCAACUUGACAGUGAAAGUAGUCUUUCCACAAAAGAAAGUAUAGAGGGUAUGAAGACUGAAACAGAACUAGAAGAAGAGAAGUUGAAUUUGAAUGGCACUCAAGAUGGAGAGGGACUAUCUACCAACGCCAAAACUCUUCUUCAAGAAUUGGACUUGCUUAAAAAUGAGUUGAAGUCAGCAACUGUGGCAGAAGAGAAUAGCAAGAAGGCCAUGGAUGAUUUGGCAUUUGCGCUGAAAGAAGUGGCAACAGAAGCAAAUCAGGCGAAGGCAAAACUGACCAUAAGCGAAGUGGAACUAGAGCACACUAAAGGGGAUGCAGAGCGUUGGAGAACAAUGUUAGAAAGCACUGAAGAGAAGUACAAGGAGCUUCUAGAAGCAACAAAGAAAGAAGCUGAUAGAUACAAAAACACAGCUGAGAGAUUAAGAUUGGAAGCUGAAGAAACCCUUUUGGCAUGGAAUGGAAAGGAAACGGAGCUUGUGAAUUGCAUUAGAAGGGCUGAAGAGGAAAGAUUGCAUGCAACAAAAGAAACUACUGGACUACUUGAAUUGCUCAAGGAAGCAGAAAAUAAGACCAAGGUUUCAAAGGAAGAAAAUCAAAAGUUACGUGAUAUACUUAAACAAGCCUUGAAUGAAGCCAAUGUUGCAAAAGAAGCAGCAGAAAUUGCAAAGGCUGAAAAUGCUAGACUACAAGAUAGCCUUAACCUACUUGUCCACGAGAAUGAAAUGUUAAAGAUACACGAAGCUGCAUCAUUUGAGAAUAUUAAAGAGUUGAAGCGCAUGCUCUCAGAAUCAUCAAUGAAGGACUUCAAAAUUGAAGAUAUAGAGAAAUCAACAUCAAAAGAAGGUAGCAAGGAGGAUAAGGAAUCAGGGAGAAAAGCAAAGGCACAAAACACACAUAACUCAGCAGAUAAGGAUCAUAAGGAAUCUAAGAGUCUAAACAAAACUUUUAGUCUUAAUCUGAAGGACAUGAUACCACCCCGUAAGGAACAGCACAAGGUGGGGAACGAAGAGGCCAACAAAGAAAUAGAUGAUGAUACUUUAAGGGGUUCAAUAUUUGAUGAAGUGGAUUCAUCAGAUUCAGAAUCUCGGCAUGACGGAGAAAUGGGAAUCCCAGAUGAUUUUGAUCAUUUGGAUGAGUCUCACUUUGAUGAUUCAGAAGGUGAUAGAAACUCUAGAAAAAGAAGAGCCUUGCUGAGAAGAUUUGGAGAUCUUAUUCGUAGAAGAAGUUUUCAUUACCACAGAAAGGACCCAUCCAACGAGGAACAUUUACAAACGUAACGCAAAUUCCCUUUAAGGAUUCAUGCGAUAAUUAGACUGUUGUGUUUAUAUUGUUUUGCUUUGUUUAGAUAAUUUGUACAUUUCUUUCGUGUUUUUGUUUCUACUACGUUAGUUUCUAUGUCAGAAAUUCAAGUAACAUAUGAUUUGGACAAAUCAAGCGUACACGACAGUGUUUAAAUGAAAGCAAACGCAAUGUUAAUC